CGGUAAUUCCAGCUCCAAUAGCGUAUACUAAAGUUGUUGCAGUUAAAGAGCUCGUAGUUGGAUUUCGGCUUGAGCCGAUUGGUCCUUCCUCUGGACAGCGUACUGAUCGGUUUUAGCUUCUUCGCGAAGGCCGCGUGUGCUCUUAACUGGGUGGGCGUGGGAUUCGCGACGUUUACUUUGAAAAAAUUAGAGUGUUCAAAGCAGGCAUACGCUUGAAUAUCUCAGCAUGGAAUAAUAGAAUAGGACUUUGGUCUUAUUUUGUUGGUUUCCGAGGCCGAAGUAAUGAUUAAUAGGGACAGUUGGGGGCAUUCGUAUUUCAUUGUCAGAGGUGAAAUUCUUGGAUUCAUGAAAGACGAACUUCUGCGAAAGCAUUUGCCAAGGAUGUUUUCAUUAAUCAAGAACGAAAGUUGGAGGCUCGAAGACGAUCAGAUACCGUCCUAGUUCCAACCAUAAACGAUGCCGUCUGCGGAUCGGAGGUCGCUACAUAAGGCUCCUUCGGCACGCUAUGAGAAAUCAAAGACUUCGGGUUCCGGGGGGAGUGUGUUCGCAAGAAUGAAACUUAAAGGAAUUGACGGAAGGGCACCACCAGGAGUGGAACCUGCGGUUUAAUUUGACUCAACACGGGAAAACUCACCAGGUCCAGACAUAGGAAGGAUUGACAGAUUGAGAGCUCUUCCUUGAUUCUAUGGGUGGUGGUGCAUGGCCGUUCUUAGUUGGUGGAGUGAUUUGUCUGGUUAAUUCCGGUAACGAACGAGACCUUAACAUAUUAAAUAGCGACGCGCUUACCAGAACCGCGGUUCACAUAUUAGAGGGACUAUCCCAAUCAAAGCGAUGGAAGUUCGAGGCCAUAUCAGGUAUGUGAUGACAUUAGAUGUUCCGCACCACACGCGCGCUACACUAUCCGAGGCAGCGAUUUUCUUCCCUUCAACGAAAGGUUCGGGUAAUCUAGGCAAACUCGGACGUGCAGGGGAUAGACCCUUGUAAGUUUUGGUCCGGAGCGAGGAAAUCAUACUAAACACGACUCAUCAACUCGUGCUGAUUACGUCCCUUCCCUCACUACACACCUCCCGUCGCUAGUACCGAUGGAAUGGUGUAGUGUGAUGUCGGGAUUGGCGAGCUCCGGUUCUCCCUGUGCACGGGGCCCGGCGCACACGAAAACCAGACUCAAACCAGAUCAAUUAGAAGUGAAGUAUAAAGUCAUAACAGGUAACACGUAAGAGGUGAAUC
rnacentral:rRNA from 1 species